UUCAGCAUCAAUUUAAAAUUAAAAUGUGUAAAAAUGUAAAUGAUGAAAGAUAAUAACAUGUAAUAUAUUUUCAGUUUGGUGUAUUUACAAAAUUAAGAGGCAAAAAUUGUAUACAUAAAAACAGAAAUAAGCUUUUUUCUUGAAAUGGUGAUAAUUAUCGAUACGGUAAGAAGUGAUAAUAAAAAGUGCAUAAUUUUUAAACCUUUUUCGAGUCAGUACAUGAAAAGACAUCGUGCGAGAAGAUCGUUUCUUUAAAAUAUACUAAUGAAUGAGGAGAAAAAAUUAAAAUGUCAUUGAAUAAUUUUAAUAUCGUACAUACAUCUAAAGAGAGUGAAUUUACGGAUAAUCGCAAUACCGAAAAGUCUUCAUCUCGGAAUUUUUUGACUUCAAAAUUAUCAGAUAAGAUUGAUAAUACGGUAUUACUGAAUUUUAAUACAACAAGUAAAAAUAAUAAAAAUGAACACUUGCGUCGAGUUACAAGUAGCAGUGAUAAUGAAGCACAAAAUGGAAUGAUAUUGAACGAUGAUUUAAACGAUCGUUUCGAAGAUCACUUAAGAAAAGAAACAAUAGAUGAAAAGCAAGAGACACGAUUGUUUUCACAGAAGAAUUAUACUUUGACAUUAAUCGAUGUAACGAUUUGCACAAUUACAAUCGGACCAUCUGUAGUCGGUUUUUGGAGAGGUGUAUGGGGGCUAAUGGAUUUUCAUCAAGAAAUGUUUCCGUUUUGGCUAUGUUUCACAUUUGGCAUACUGUUUCACAUGAUGUUUGCAGUGAUGAAAUAUCAGCUUCAUAAUUAUGUGAAUAACAAGAUAAAAAAGAAUAGUUUGUUCAAUCAAAUACUAUGUCAAAUAUUUAAGAUCAUUUAUACUUUCGUAUUUGGAAUAAUGUGCAUAAUACAUUGGAGAUAUAGCUGGAUCAUACUCGACGAAUAUUUGCAUAUACAUAAAUUAUGACACACACGGAUAGAUGUAUAUACUUGAGAAUACAAGAUAGGUAUAAGUUAUAUAACAGUUUUAUUAUCAAUGAGAACAUUGCAGAAUAUUUGUCAACUGAAAUGAUACCUUACGAAGAAAUUUAACAUUAAACAGGAAACAAUAAAACGUGAGGAUAAACGCAAGUUUAACGACGACAUUUAUAAGCGUCUUGGCAGGGCUGCGCUGUAUACGAAAUCUAUUAGCACCGCCGUUUUACAUAAAUAUCGACGACUAUA